rnacentral:rRNA from 1 species
CCUACGGGUGGCAGCAGUGGGGAAUAUUGCACAAUGGGGGAAACCCUGAUGCAGCGACGCCGCGUGAGUGAAGAAGUAUCUCGGUACGUAAAGCUCUAUCAGCAGGGAAGAAAAUGACGGUACCUGACUAAGAAGCCCCGGCUAACUACGUGCCAGCAGCCGCGGUAAUACGUAGGGGGCAAGCGUUAUCCGGAUGUAUUGGGUGUAAAGGGAGCGUAGACGGCAGUACAAGUCUGGAGUGAAAUCCCGGGGCUUAACCGCGGAACUGCGUUGGAAACUGUGCGGCUGGAGUGCAGGAGGGGUAAGCGGAAUUCCUGGUGUAGCGGUGAAAUGCGUAGAUAUUAGGAGGAACACCGGUGGCGAAGGCGGCUUACUGGACUGUAACUGACGCUGAGGCUCGAAAGCGUGGGGAGCAAACAGGAUUAGAUACCCGGGUAGUC